rnacentral:rRNA from 1 species
UAGAGUUUGAUCAUGGCUCAGAAGGAACGCUGGCGGCAGGCCUAACACAUACAAGUCGAGCGGAAACGAGAAUAGCUUGCUAUUCGGCGUCGAGCGGCGGACGGGUGAGUAAUGCCUGGGAAAUUGCCCUGAUGUGGGGGAUAACCAUUGGAAACGAUGGCUAAUACCGCAUAAUAGCUUCGGCUUAAAGAGGGGGACCUUCGGGCCUCUCGCUUCAGGAUAUGCCCAGGUGGGAUUAGCUAGUUGGUGAGGUAAAGGCUCACCAAGGCGACGAUCCCUAGCUGGUCUGAGAGGAUGAUCAGCCACACUGGAACUGAGACACGGUCCAGACUCCUACGGGAGGCAGCAGUGGGGAAUAUUGCACAAUGGGCGCAAGCCUGAUGCAGCCAUGCCGCGUGUAUGAAGAAGGCCUUCGGGUUGUAAAGUACUUUCAGCAGUGAGGAAGGGUGUGUAGUUAAUAGCUGCAUACUUUGACGUUAGCUGCAGAAGAAGCACCGGCUAACUCCGUGCCAGCAGCCGCGGUAAUACGGAGGGUGCGAGCGUUAAUCGGAAUUACUGGGCGUAAAGCGCAUGCAGGUGGUUUGUUAAGUCAGAUGUGAAAGCCCGGGGCUCAACCUCGGAACCGCAUUUGAAACUGGCAGGCUAGAGUACUGUAGAGGGGGGUAGAAUUUCA